rnacentral:rRNA from 1 species
GACGACGGGGGCUAGCGUUGUUCGGAAUUACUGGGCGUAAAGCGAGUGUAGGUGGUUGUCCAAGUUGGAUGUGAAAGCCUUGAGCUCAACUCAAGAAAUGCAUUCAGGACUGGGCGGCUAGAGGACCGGAGAGGAUAGUGGAAUUCCCAGUGUAGUGGUGAAAUACGUAGAGAUUGGGAAGAACACCAGUGGCGAAGGCGGCUAUCUGGACGGUUUCUGACACUAAGGCGCGAAAGCGUGGGGAGCAAACAGG